GCAUCGGUGUCCGAGCCUGGUUCAAGGAGAGAUCUGUUGGUGUUUUCACCACACGGGUUCAAAUCCCGUCCGAUGCA
rnacentral:tRNA from 1 species